CUCGCCAUUCCUGUAAUGGCUGCUUCCUAGAAGGUAAUGUACGAACUCGUCUCCAAAGGAUACUUAGGUUGCACCAGUGUAUUUGUAAAACAGGAGCAAAUUUGGACCUUGCCGGGCCAAAGUCGUGUCACGUGGAACCUCUUAAUCUCAGCAUCCGGAGCUCCAGGAAGGGAAAAUUUCAAGUCAGAUAGAAUUCUAUAUAUACCAUUUCUUUGGAACCUUCAGCCCUCAAGAUUCCAACAUCAUGACCUCAGUUUCAACACAGUUGUCCUUAGUCCUCAUGUCACUGCUUUUGGUGCUGCCUGUUGUGGAAGCAGUAGAAGCCGGUGAUGCAAUCGCCCUUUUGUUAGGUGUGGUUCUCAGCAUUACAGGCAUUUGUGCCUGCUUGGGGGUAUAUGCACGAAAAAGAAAUGGACAGAUGUGACUUUGAAAGGCCUACUGAGUCAAACCUCACCCUGAAAACCUUUGCGCUUUAGAGGCUAAACCUGAGAUUUGGUGUGUGAAAGGUUCCAAGAAUCAGUAAAUAAGGGAGUUUCACAUUUUUCAUUGUUUCCAUGAAAUGGCAACAAACAUACAUUUAUAAAUUGAAAAAAAAAUGUUUUCUUUACAACAAAUAAUGCACAGAAAAAUGCAGCCUAUAAUUUGCUAGUUAGGUAGUCAAAGAAGUAAGAUGGCUGAAAUUUACAUAAGUAAUAUUUCAUAAUCUUAGAAUUCUCUCAAAGCAUGUGAAAUAGGAAGAAGGAAGUUCUUGCCCAGAAUCUUAGGAAAUCACCACUGUUCGGUUAUAAUCACUGCCUCCUGAAUCGUUGAGGAGUCUUUUAAAUUAGAUUUUUGUUUUGUUGUCUCCCAAGUUAAUAUUAUAUUUAGAUAUCAGAGAGUCAGGCAAAAAGGAAAACUUUUAUCUCUAGGGAAAAAACAUUUAGAAAAAUGUAUUCAGUGUAUCUAAUACUGAAAUGCGGAAA
rnacentral:lncRNA from 1 species